rnacentral:lncRNA from 1 species
CUCAUAUAGUCAUUUUGCACUGGGAUCUUCAAACUACCUUCGUGGUCCUGCCAAGAGGAAAAAUUGUCUCUAGAGAUACUCGGCUGAGUUACAGAGGUUCUCCAAUGAUUUAGUAGUGGUGGUGGUAGAAGUCACAGCAGUUGGAAACUACAAGUUUCAAAAUGUGAGGGGGAGGAAGAAAAGCAAGUACGGGGAGAAGGAAGAAGCCCUUCUGUCCAAGAGGCCUGUAAGCUGAUCCUGGGGAGAAGGGAGAAGGUCCCGGAAUUGCUGGCUGAGUGACUGUGGUUUCCACUGUAAGAUCUGAUCUACAGAGAAGAACAAUUAUGAAGCUCUUUAAGGAUGCUGGGGAUCCCCUCACAAAUUUGUUUCUCAAAGUAUCAAUGAAAGGUAUGUCUUCUGGACCCUCCCAGUGAGGAGAGGAACUGGAGACACAGUCACACGGGGAAGAAGCCCAUGUGACUAUGGAGCUAAAGACUGGAGUGAUGCAUCUAUCAGCCCAUGGAGGUCAACGAUUGCCAAAAACCACCAGAAGCCAGGAAGGAAGUCAUGUUCCUCAGAAGGAACAUGACACUGCUCACAUCUUAAUUCUGGACUUCUAGCUUCCACGACUGUGG